UACGUAGGUGGCAAGCGUUUGUCCGGAAUUAUUGGGCGUAAAGCGCGCGCAGGUGGUUUCUUAAGUCUGAUGUGAAAGCCCACGGCUCAACCGUGGAGGGUCAUUGGAAACUGGGGGAACUUGAGUGCAGAAGAGGAAAGUGGAAUUCCAAGUGUAGCGGUGAAAUGCGUAGAGAUUUGGAGGAACACCAGUGGCGAAGGCGACUUUCUGGUCUGUAACUGACACUGAGGCGCGAAAGCGUGGGGAGCGAACAGG
rnacentral:rRNA from 1 species